GUGGGGAAUCUUAGACAAUGGGGGAAACCCUGAUCUAGCCAUGCCGCGUGAGCGAUGAAGGCCUUAGGGUUGUAAAGCUCUUUCAGCUGGGAAGAUAAUGACGGUACCAGCAGAAGAAGCCCCGGCUAACUCCGUGCCAGCAGCCGCGGUAAUACGGAGGGGGCUAGCGUUGUUCGGAAUUACUGGGCGUAAAGCGCACGUAGGCGGACCGGAAAGUCAGAGGUGAAAUCCCAGGGCUCAACCUUGGAACUGCCUUUGAAACUCCUGGUCUUGAGGUCGAGAGAGGUGAGUGGAAUUCCGAGUGUAGAGGUGAAAUUCGUAGAUAUUCGGAGGAACACCAGUGGCGAAGGCGGCUCACUGGCUCGAUACUGACGCUGAGGUGCGAAAGCGUGGGGAGCAAACAGGAUUAGAUACCCGGGUAGUCC
rnacentral:rRNA from 1 species